AACGAACGCUGGCGGCAUGCCUAACACAUGCAAGUCGAACGAGACCUUCGGGUCUAGUGGCGCACGGGUGCGUAACGCGUGGGAAUCUGCCCUUGGGUUCGGAAUAACAGUUAGAAAUGACUGCUAAUACCGGAUGAUGUCUUCGGACCAAAGAUUUAUCGCCCAGGGAUGAGCCCGCGUAGGAUUAGCUAGUUGGUGGGGUAAAGGCCUACCAAGGCGACGAUCCUUAGCUGGUCUGAGAGGAUGAUCAGCCACACUGGGACUGAGACACGGCCCAGACUCCUACGGGAGGCAGCAGUGGGGAAUAUUGGACAAUGGGCGAAAGCCUGAUCCAGCAAUGCCGCGUGAGUGAUGAAGGCCUUAGGGUUGUAAAGCUCUUUUACCCGGGAUGAUAAUGACAGUACCGGGAGAAUAAGCCCCGGCUAACUCCGUGCCAGCCGCCGCAGUAAUAC
rnacentral:rRNA from 1 species